UACGUAGGGUGCAAGCGUUGUUCGGGCUCAUUGGGCGUAAAGCGCGUGUAGGCGGUUGGUUAAAUCUGGGGUGAAAGCCCGGGGCUUAACUCCGGAAGUGCACUGGAUACUGAAUAACUAGAGGGCGGGAGAGGGAAGCGGAAUUCCUGGUGUAGGGGUGAAAUCCGUAGAUAUCAGGAGGAACGUCGGAGGCGCAGGCGGCUUCCUGGCCCGUUACAGACGCUGAGACGCGAAAGCGUGGGGAGCAAACAGG
rnacentral:rRNA from 1 species